rnacentral:rRNA from 1 species
CGGGUGAGUAACGCGUAAGUAAUCUACCCUGGUAUCUGGGAUAACUCACCGAAAGGUGUGCUAAUACCGGAUACGCUGAGUAAUCAGGAAAGGUGGCCUCUUCAUGAAAGCUACUGUACCAGGAGGAGCUUGCGUACCAUUAGCUAGUUGGUAGGGUAAUGGCCUACCAAGGCAACGAUGGUUAGCGGGUCUGAGAGGAUGAUCCGCCACACUGGAACUGGAACACGGACCAGACUCCUACGGGAGGCAGCAGUGAGGAAUAUUGCGCAAUGGGGGAAACCCUGACGCAGCGACGCCGCGUGGAUGAUGAAGGCCUUCGGGUCGUAAAAUCCUGUCAGGUGGAAAGAAGUGUAGUAUACCUAAUACGUGUACUAUUUGACGGUACCACCAAAGGAAGCACCGGCUAACUCCGUGCCAGCAGCCGCGGUAAUACGGAGGGUGCAAGCGUUGUUCGGAAUUACUGGGCGUAAAGCGCGCGUAGGCGGCUAUUUAAGUCAGAUGUGAAAGUCCACGGCUCAACCGUGGAAGUGCAUUUGAAACUGAAUGGCUUGAGUACUGGAGGGGGUGGUGGAAUUCCCGGUGUAGAGGUGAAAUUCGUAGAUAUCGGGAGGAAUACCGGUGGCGAAGGCGACCACCUGGCCAGAUACUGACGCUGAGGUGCGAAAGCGUGGGGAGCAAACAGGAUUAGAUACCCUGGUAGUCCACGCCGUAAACGAUGUCAACUAGGUGUUGGGGAGGUUAUCUUCUUCAUUGCCGGAGCUAACGCCAUUAA